AAAGAAAGAAAAAAAAAGAAAGAAAGAAAGAAGAAAAACAACAAGAUGGGAGUGAGGAAGAGAGAUAAUAAGAGUGGGGGUAGUGGGUUUAAUUCUCCACCUCAGAAGAGAGUAUGUCCUUCUUCUCCUUCUUCUCCUUCUCCUUCUACAAAAU
rnacentral:ribozyme from 1 species